UACGUAGGGGGCAAGCGUUGUCCGGAUUUAUUGGGCGUAAAGAGCGUGUAGGCGGCCUGAAAGGUCAGCUGUGAAAACUCGAGGCUCAACCUCGAGACGUCGGUUGAAACCAUCUGGCUAGAGUCCGGAAGAGGAGAGUGGAAUUCCCGGUGUAGCGGUGAAAUGCGCAGAUAUCAGGAGGAACACCGAUGGCGAAGGCAGGUCUCUGGGCCACUACUGACGCUGAGAAGCGAAAGCGUGGGGAGCAAACAGG
rnacentral:rRNA from 1 species